rnacentral:pre_miRNA from 1 species
UUUAAGUGUGUUUGUAAGUUUUUUUUUUGUCUUAUUUAACUUUUUUUAUGAUUACUACUUUUGUUGUUAUUAGAUGAUAAAAUAUGAAUAGUACUUUAUAUAUGACUUAUUUUGUAAAUAUUUUUAAGUAAGACGAAUAGUCAAAUAUUAGACACAUAAACUCACAAAUGCAUUUAAA